UGAAUUGACGGGGCCCGCACAGCGGUGGAGCAUGUGGUUAAUUCGACGCAACGCGAAGAACCUUACCAGGGCUUGACAUCCCCUGACCGCGUAUGAAAGUACGUUUUCACCCUCGGGUGACAGGGAGACAGGUGGUGCAUGGUUGUCGUCAGCUCGUGUCGUGAGAUGUUGGGUUAAGUCCCGCAACGAGCGCAACCCCUACGUUUAGUUGCUAACGCGUGAAGGCGAGCACUCUAGACGAACUGCCGUUGACAAAACGGAGGAAGGUGGGGAUGACGUCAAAUCAUCAUGCCCCUUAUGUUCUGGGCUACACACGUGCUACAAUGGCCGGUACAGACGGACGCAAAGCCGCGAGGUGGAGCAAAUCCUAAAAAGCCGGUCUCAGUUCGGAUUGCAGGCUGCAAUUCGCCUGCAUGAAGUCGGAAUCGCUAGUAAUCGCAGGUCAGCAUACUGCGGUGAAUACGUUCCCGGGCCUU
rnacentral:rRNA from 1 species